UAUCUCUGUAGAGUCUGCAUAUCAAUAAGCGGAGGAAAAGAAACUAACAAGGAUUCCCUUAGUAACGGCGAGUGAAGCGGGAAGAGCUCAAAUUUGAAAUCUUCAAGGUUCUACCUUGACGAAUUGUAGUUUAAAGAAGUGUUUUCUGUUAGAAGUUAGGUACAAAGUUCCUUGGAAUAGGACAUCAUAGAGGGUGAGAAUCCCGUAUUUGGUUAUUCAUUCUAGCUGUGUGAUACACUUUCAAAGAGUCGGAUUGUUUGGGAAUGCAGUCCAAAAUGGGUGGUAAAUUUCAUCUAAAGCUAAAUAUUGGCGAGAGACCGAUAGCGAACAAGUACCGUGAGGGAAAGAUGAAAGAACUUUGAAAAGAGAGUUAAACAGUACGUGGAAUUGUCAAAAGGGAAGCGUUUGACACCAGUGUUGUUUUUCCGAAAAUCAAUUACGAAUGGCUUGAUUUUGUGUUGUAUUGACCUUAUCAGCUUUCUUCACUUUUUUCGAGUCUUUCUUAAUGCGCUUUUCGGUUAACAAGUCAACAUCAAUUUCUUUUGUUGUAAAAGAGUAUUCGGAAGGUGGCUUUCUUUUCGGAGAAAGUGUUUAUAGCCCUAUACUUCUACAAUCGGAGAGAUUGAGGUCUGCAGCGUAGAUCCUUCGGGGUUAGAUACAUUUGUGCUAAGUUGUAGCUUUUCAUAGACAACUUGUUGACUAUGUUUAGUCAUGCGGCUUACUCGCUUAUGCUAUUUUACCUACGCUUAGGAUGUUGACUGAUAUGUAGUCGU
rnacentral:rRNA from 1 species